CAUUUCUUGUUCUCUUCUCAAAAGUCUACAAUGAUGUUUAAGAUAUGCUGAUAAUUUGUAUUAUUUUGGGUGGUCUUUUGAGAAUUGUAGUUAACAUUGCUCAUCGUUUGCUAUAUGAGAUGAAACUUCAAAACCAAGACAUAGCCUCCUUUCUUGCAAGAUUUAUGGUUUUGCUUCCUAAAUACUUUUAACAUUUUCUGUUAGCUUUAUUUUUUACUCGUACUUUCUCUUUGCAAAGAAAUGUCCUCUCAGUGGCUGCUUUUGCAUGUUAUUAUUAUUCUGGUUGUCAUCAACAGAACUUAUUGCAUCUACACUUUUUCCCUGAAAUUUGUUCUUUUUAACUAUGUGUUCAA